CCUACGGGAGACUGCAGUGGGGAAUAUUGGGCAAUGGAGGAAACUCUGACCCAGCAACGCCGCGUGAAUGAUGAAGGUCUUCGGAUUGUAAAGUUCUUUUCUAAGGGAAGAAGAAAGUGACGGUACCUUAGGAAUAAGCCUCGGCUAACUACGUGCCAGCAGCCGCGGUAAUACGUAGGAGGCGAGCGUUAUCCGGAAUGACUGGGCGUAAAGGGUGCGUAGGUGGUUUGGCAAGUUAGUAGCGUAACUCCAAGGCUCAACCUUGGAACUACUACUAAAACUGUUGGACUUGAGUGCAGGAGGGGCAACCGGAAUUCCUUGUGUAGCGGUGAAAUGCGUAGAUAUAAGGAAGAACACCAGUGGCGAAGGCGGAUGACUGGACGGCAACUGACGGUGAGGCGCGAAAGCGUGGGGAGCAAACAGGAUUAGAUACCCCUGUAGUC
rnacentral:rRNA from 1 species